rnacentral:rRNA from 1 species
CUGACUAGCCUGCCGCGUGUGUGAUGAAGGCCCUAGGGUCGUAAAGCACUUUCGCCAGAGAUGAUAAUGACAGUAUCUGGUAAAGAAACCCCGGCUAACUCCGUGCCAGCAGCCGCGGUAAUACGGAGGGGGUUAGCGUUGUUCGGAAUUACUGGGCGUAAAGCGCACGUAGGCGGAUUAGUAAGUUAGAGGUGAAAUCCCAGGGCUCAACCCUGGAACUGCCUUUAAUACUGCUAGUCUUGAGUUCGAGAGAGGUAAGUGGAAUUCCGAGUGUAGAGGUGAAAUUCGUAGAUAUUCGGAGGAACACCAGUGGCGAAGGCGGCUUACUGGCUCGAUACUGACGCUGAGGUGCGAAAGUGUGGGGAGCAAACAGGAUUAGAUACCCUGGUAGUCCACACCGUAAACGAUGAAUGCCAGACGUCAGCAAGUAUACUUGUUGGUGUCACACCUAACGGAUUAAGCAUUCCCCUGGGGAGU